rnacentral:lncRNA from 1 species
AGGGCAUGCAAUUAAAGAAGGGGAUGUGUGGCCCAUGAGGUUGCUGCCAUCAGCCAUCAAGGCUGCUGAAAUCUAAUGAAAAAGUGCCUACGGUACAGUUCAUUUCCACUCUCAGUUGGUAGAAAUAAUCAAAUUUCAAGCAUACAAAUUCAAAAUGAAAAAGUCUAUUAUGAGCACCAGAAAGAUAGAAAUGAUCCAUUUAUUUCAUUGCAUACUACUACACCUUGGUGCUUAAAGACAAAACUUAGUUGCAAACAGUGCAUUACCUAGGAACAACAUUUGGUGUACUGAGCAUAACAAUUCAAAAUUAUUCUAUGGCUAUUAAGUGCCUAAAUCUGAGAUUGCAACAUGAAAGCAAGUACUGAUUAAAUUGACAAAUUAUAUGGUUCAUUUGUCCAUAGUGAACACAGAAUUAAAAGAACUGCCAGAACUCAUGGUGGCAUUCUAUAGAAGCAUCAUUCUUCUGCAAGUAUAGUGUUCUCAAGAAAGCAUGGUGUAGCCAAGAGAUCAAGGUGUUAUACAAGCAUUAUUUCAUAGCACAAUCUAGGGAAAAAAUCCUUCGUUCUAGAAGAAUGGCAACCCAAGAUGUACCGACGACAAGAUCCACAGUUACUUUGCAUUACUCCAAAUCAAGAGUUGCAAUAGCAACCUGUUAAUCUGACAUACCUUUAGAUAGAAGCUCAACGACAAUUUCCUUCUGAACCCAUAUUGAGAAAAAUAAGCCAGAUUUGAAUUUUAAUAUCUUUGCCAGCAUUUAUUUUCAACUGCUCAAGCAAAAUAAAACAUGAAUUUCACACCGCAGAAACUACUAAAUGUGAAAUUACAGAAUUUUAGCAUUUGAAUAUGAGAGAACUGUAAAGCAUUGUACAUGAUAGUAAUCGUGUUUUAGAGAACUUUGUCAGUGGUAGU